rnacentral:lncRNA from 13 species
AUGUGGAGGUUUCUGGAAGGUGGUGCUUCUGGAGAGGACACAAAACACUCUGAGCCCUUUCUCCCAUACCUCUCCCUAUACAUCUCUUCCAUCUGGCUCUUCAUCUGUAAUAUCCUUUACAAUAAACCAAUAAAGGGUCUCACUCUGUCAUCCAGGUUGGAGUGCAGUGGCAUCAUCAAAGCUCCCUGCAGCCUCAACCUCCUGAGCUCAAGCAAUUCUCUUUCCUCAGCCUCCCAGAAGCAAGACUCAGGCGCAUACAGACGCAUUCCACAUGGCAGGAGGAAGCAUCUGCUUUCAGAAAAAAAUUUCCGUACUCCACAUUAAAGAAGCAUAUUAUCUACAUACAUAUGACGGAUUGCAAUUGCAAGGGACAUGGAUGAAUCUGGAGAACAUCAUCCUCAGCAAACUGACACAAGAACAGAAAAUGAAACACCGCAUAUUCUCACUCAUAGGCGGGUGAUGAAAAAUGAGAACACAUGGACACAGAAAGGGGAGUACUAAACACUGGGGUCUAUUGGGGGGAAAAGGGGAGAGCCAGUGGGAGGGGGUGGUGGGGAGGGAUAGCCUGGGGAGAAAUGCCAAAUGUGGGUGAAGGGGAGAAGCAAAGCAAAGCACACUGCCAUGUGUGUACCUACGCAACUGUCUUGCAUGCUCUGCUCAUGUACCCCAAAACCUAAAAUCCAAUAAAAAAUUAAAAAACAAACA